AUUGAACGCUGGCGGCAGGCUUAACACAUGCAAGUCGAGCGGAGCGAGGGUGCUUGCACCUUAGCUUAGCGGCGGACGGGUGAGUAAUGCUUAGGAAUCUGCCUAUUAGUGGGGGACAACAUUCCGAAAGGGAUGCUAAUACCGCAUACGCCCUACGGGGGAAAGCAGGGGAUCUUCGGACCUUGCGCUAAUAGAUGAGCCGAAGUCGGAUUAGCUAGUUGGUGGGGUACAGGCCUACCAAGGCGACGAUCUGUAGCGGGUCUGAGAGGAUGAUCCGCCACACUGGGACUGAGACACGGCCCAGACUCCUACGGGAGGCAGCAGUGGGGAAUAUUGGACAAUGGGGGGAACCCUGAUCCGGCCAUGCCGCGUGUGUGAAGAAGGCCUUAUGGUUGUAAAGCACUUUAAGCGAGGAGGAGGCUCUUUUGGUUAAUACCCAAGAUGAGUGGACGUUACUCGCAGAAUAAGCACCGGCUAACUCCGUGCCAGCCGCCGCCGUAA
rnacentral:rRNA from 1 species